GCCUGGGUGGCUCCGUUGGUUGAGCAUCCGACUUCGGCUCAGGUCAUGAUACCAUGGUUUGUGGGUUCAAGCCCCACAUCGGGCU
rnacentral:tRNA from 1 species